AUUGAACGCUGGCGGCAGGCUUAAUACAUGCAAGUCGAACGAGUGGCGGACGGGUGAGUAAUGCUUGGGAAUCUAGCUUAUGGAGGGGGAUAACUACGGGAAACUGUAGCUAAUACCGCGUACCAUAGGAUGAGCCCAAGUGGGAUGAGGUAGUUGGUGGGGGAAAGGCUCACCAAGCCGACGAUCUCUAGCGGGUCUGAGAGGAUGACCGGCCACACUGGGACUGAGACACGGCCCAGACUCCUACGGGAGGCAGCAGUGGGGAAUAUUGCGCAAUGGGGGAAAGCUGACGCAGCCAUGCCGCGUGAGUGAAGAAGGCCUUCGGGUUGUAAAGUUCUUUCGUUAGCGAAGCGUUAUCUACAGAGGAAGCACCGGCUAACUCCGUGCCAGCAGCCGCGGUAAUUC
rnacentral:rRNA from 1 species